rnacentral:tRNA from 1 species
GCCGCCGUAGCUCAGUGGUAGAGCGCAUCCUUGGUAAGGCUGAGGUCUCGGGUUCGAGUCCCGACGGCGGCACCA